UGAGUAACACGUAUCCAACCUGCCGUCUACUCUUGGCCAGCCUUCUGAAAGGAAGAUUAAUCCAGGAUGGCAUCAUGAGUUCACAUGUCCGCAUGAUUAAAGGUAUUUUCCGGUAGACGAUGGAGAUGCGUUCCAUUAGAUAGUAGGCGGGGUAACGGCCCACCUAGUCAACGAUGGAUAGGGGUUCUGAGAGGAAGGUCCCCCACAUUGGAACUGAGACACGGUCCAA
rnacentral:rRNA from 1 species